CUCAGGAUGAACGCUGGCGGCGUGCCUAAUACAUGCAAGUCGAGCGAACAGAUAAGGAGCUUGCUCCUUUGACGUUAGCGGCGGACGGGUGAGUAACACGUGGGUAACCUACCUAUAAGACUGGGAUAACUUCGGGAAACCGGAGCUAAUACCGGAUAACAUUUGGAACCGCAUGGUUCUAAAGUGAAAGAUGGUUUUGCUAUCACUUAUAGAUGGACCCGCGCCGUAUUAGCUAGUUGGUAAGGUAACGGCUUACCAAGGCGACGAUACGUAGCCGACCUGAGAGGGUGAUCGGCCACACUGGAACUGAGACACGGUCCAGACUCCUACGGGAGGCAGCAGUAGGGAAUCUUCCGCAAUGGGCGAAAGCCUGACGGAGCAACGCCGCGUGAGUGAUGAAGGGUUUCGGCUCGUAAAACUCUGUUAUUAGGGAAGAACAAAYGUGUAAGUAACUGUGCACGUCUUGACGGUACCUAAUCAGAAAGCCACGGCUAACUACGUGCCAGCAGCCGCGGUAAUACGUAGGUGGCAAGCGUUAUCCGGAAUUAUUGGGCGUAAAGCGCGCGUAGGCGGUUUCUUAAGUCUGAUGUGAAAGCCCACGGCUCAACCGUGGAGGGUCAUUGGAAACUGGGAAACUUGAGUGCAGAAGAGGAAAGUGGAAUUCCAUGUGUAGCGGUGAAAUGCGCAGAGAUAUGGAGGAACACCAGUGGCGAAGGCGACUUUCUGGUCUGUAACUGACGCUGAUGUGCGAAAGCGUGGGGAUCAAACAGG
rnacentral:rRNA from 1 species